UAAUGAUUUUGUAAGCUCUUUCUUUAGACCCUUUGAAGCAAAAGAUUCUUGACUGGAAGACACGGUUGAACAUAAUGGAAGGAAUAUGCAGGGGUCUUCUGUACCUUCACAGAGAUUCAAGACUAAGGAUCAUACACAGAGAUCUAAAAGCCAGCAACAUUUUGUUAGAUGACAACCUGAAUCCCAAAAUAUCUGAUUUUGGGCUUGCAAGAGUUUUCCGAGCAAAUGAAGAUGAAGCUAACACAAGAAGGGUUGUAGGAACAUAGUAAGUACUCAUUUCGGAAAAAUAGUAACACAAAUAUUUUGAAAGCCAGUAUUAUCAUAACCUAUAUGAAUUAUUUUUUUGAUGUUGUUGCAGCGGCUACAUGUCACCGGAAUAUGCAAUGGAAGGUUUAUUUUCAGAAAAAUCAGAUGUUUUCAGCUUGGGGGUUAUACUUUUAGAGAUCAUAAGUGGGAGAAGAAACUCUUACAAGAAAGAUAAUUAUCCAAACCUGUUAGCUUAUGUAAGUGUGCACUAACAAUCAUUGUUUAGUAGAUUUUCUACCUUUUAAACUUUACCUGUAAAUUUGGUAUGUUUAUAGGUGUGGACGCUGUGGAAUGAGGGUGAGGCUGCUUCUCUAGCAGAUCCAAACGUCUUUGAUGAGUCUUUCGAGAAAGAGAUAACAAAAU
rnacentral:lncRNA from 1 species